rnacentral:rRNA from 1 species
UUCAGCGAGGAAGAAAGCGUGCCGGCCAAUACCCGGUACGGACGACAUCACUCGCAGAAGAAGCACCGGCUAACUCCGUGCCAGCAGCCGCGGUAAUACGGAGGGUGCAAGCGUUAAUCGGAAUUACUGGGCGUAAAGCGCGCGUAGGCGGCGUGUCACGCCGGGUGUGAAAGCCCCGGGCUCAACCUGGGAACGGCAUCCGGAACGGGCAGGCUAGAGUGCAGGAGAGGAAGGUAGAAUUCCCGGUGUAGCGGUGAAAUGCGUAGAGAUCGGGAGGAAUACCAGUGGCGAAGGCGGCCUUCUGGACUGACACUGACGCUGAGGUGCGAAAGCGUGGGUAGCAAACAGGAUUAGAUACCCUGGUAGUCCACGCCGUAAACGAUGUCGACUAGCCGUUGGGUCCCUUGAGGACUUAGUGGCGCAGUUAACGCGAUAAGUCGACCGCCUGGGGAGUACGGCCGCAAGGUUAAAACUCAAAUGAAUUGACGGGGGCCCGCACAAGCGGUGGAGCAUGUGGUUUAAUUCGAUGCAACGCGAAGAACCUUACCUACCCUUGACAUCCUGCGAACCCGGAAGAGAUUCCGGGGUGCCUUCGGGAGCGCARARACAGGUGCUGCAUGGCUGUCGUCASCUCSUGUUGUGAAAWGUUGGG